GUCAAUAUGGCGGAGUGAAUAAAACGCGAAAGAGCUAAGAUCUUUUUACGAUAUAUAAAAUAUCUAUUGAUA
rnacentral:tRNA from 1 species